rnacentral:rRNA from 1 species
UCCCGAGAGCUUGACUCUCCUUAAGGCACCAUCAAGACUAGGUGGUUGAUAGGCGCGGUGUGGAAGUGCAGCAAUGCAUUGAGCUUACGCGUACUAAUGAGCCGUGAGGCUUGACCA